AAUGAACGUUGGCGGCGUGGAUUAGGCAUGCGAGUCGAGCGAGAACCGUAGCAAUACGGGGACAGCGGCGAAAGGGACAGUAAUGGGUAGAUUAUCUGCCCUCAGGUUUGGGAUAGCUGCGGGAAACUGCAAGUAAUACCAAAUAAUAUCUCCGGAUCAAAGGUGUGAUUCCGCCUGAGGAUGAGUCUGCCUCCUAUUAGCUAGUUGGUGGGGUAACGGCCUACCAAGGCGUUGAUGGGUAGCGGGUGUGAGAGCACGACCUGCGUCAUUGGGACUGAGACACUGCCCAGACACCUACGGGUGGCUGCAGUCGAGAAUCUUCGGCAAUGGACGCAAGUCUGACCGAGCGACGCCGCGUGUGGGAUGAAGGCCUUCGGGUUGUAAACCACUGUCAGAGGGGAUGAAAUGCAGGUGGGUUCUCCCAUCUGUUUGACAUAGCCUCAGAGGAAGUACGGGCUAAGUUCGUGCCAGCCGCCGCCGUAA
rnacentral:rRNA from 1 species